GCAGCUGGUGUGAUUGGCCCGUGCCAUGUGCCUUCAUGAACAGUUGUGAUAAUGGCAAUGUCAGUAGCGAACACGAGGGCAGAUGUGCAGAGGCAGCGAGGCCCCAUCUCUGAAGCUGAGUCUUUGAGGCUGGCAAGGCCCAGGCUGGCUCACCCUGGCUCUGACACCAGCCUCCCCCACCCACCCCCCGCAGGCUGGGUGCUGGAGUGGCGCUGGCUGGCUGUGCUGGGCUGCGUGCCCCCCUCCCUCAUGCUGCUUCUCAUGUGCUUCAUGCCCGAGACCCCGCGCUUCCUGCUGACUCAGCACAGGCGCCAGGAGGCCAUGGCCGCCCUGCGGUUCCUGUGGGGCUCCGAGCAGGGCUGGGAAGACCCCCCCAUCGGGGCUGAGCAGAGCUUUCACCUGGCCCUGCUGCGGCAGCCCGGCAUCUACAAGCCCUUCGUCAUCGGCGUCUCCCUGAUGGCCUUCCAGCAGCUGUCGG
rnacentral:sRNA from 1 species